rnacentral:rRNA from 1 species
UACGUAGGGUGCGAGCGUUGUCCGGAAUUAUUGGGCGUAAAGAGCUCGUAGGCGGCUUGUCGCGUCGGAUGUGAAAGCCCGGGGCUUAACUCCGGGUCUGCAUUCGAUACGGGCAGGCUAGAGUUCGGUAGGGGAGAUCGGAAUUCCUGGUGUAGCGGUGAAAUGCGCAGAUAUCAGGAGGAACACCGGUGGCGAAGGCGGAUCUCUGGGCCGGUACAGACACUAAAGCACGAAAGCAUGGGGAGCAAACAGG